UACAGAGGUCCCGAGCGUUGUUCGGAUUCACUGGGCGUAAAGGGUGCGUAGGUGGUGAGGUAAGUCGGAUGUGAAAUCUCCGAGCUCAACUCGGAAAUGGCAUUGGAAACUACCUUGCUUGAGGGUUGGAGGGGGGACUGGAAUACUUGGUGUAGCAGUGAAAUGCGUAGAUAUCAAGUGGAACACCAGUGGCGAAGGCGAGUCCCGGGACAACUCCUGACACUGAGGCACGAAAGCUAGGGGAGCAAACAGG
rnacentral:rRNA from 1 species